AUCAGCUUAGCUUCCUCUACUUUUGUUAAUGUUACAAGUCUCCAUGGACUCUGUUUCUGAAGAUCUAGAGGAGUGUUCUCUUCGAUUAUUGCUGCCUUGUCAAGAAAUCUACAAGAAACAAAUAACCACAUUGUUAUAACGGAUCUGAGAAAGACAUACAGAUGAUAAAAAACAUGAUAAAUAAAAAUACAAAAAUUAACUUGGUUCACUAAAUUGGCUACGUCUUUCGAACCGAUUUAAAGCAUAUCAACACACCCCAGAAUCAGUUUAGAAUGCACAAAAAAA